GCUGGCAGCUAGCUCACUGCAAUUCUUACAAGGUCACCCACUAAAGCUAAGCAGGGCUGCGCCCGGUCAGUACCUGGAUGGGUGACCACAUGGGAAAGCCAGGUUGCUGCCAGAA
rnacentral:rRNA from 1 species